rnacentral:lncRNA from 1 species
CAGCCAUUUCCCCUUUGUUUAUUUGCUAUGUACAGCUCACUCCUUAUCUGUAAUGACAUCAGAGAAAGGCAUGCCCUAAAUCCACCUUCUCCCACACUAAGGAUAAUUUAUGCUGGAAAUGUAAAGAGAAAGAAGGUACGUUUUAUCAUAUGUGGUGGACGUGUUCCAAGGUGAAAGACUUCUGGGAAAAGAUUUAUAAUGAAUUUUUAAAAAUGUUGAAAAAUACAUUUAUUAAGAAACCAGAGGCCUUCCUGCUUGGAAUAAUAGGAUCGGAAUUACCCAAGAAGGAUGUUAGAUUGUUUUUGUAUGCCACUACGGCAGCAAGACUUUUAUUAGCCAAAAAUUGGAAAUUGCAAGAAAUACCUACAAUAGAAGAGUGGCAGAUGAAGGUGAUGGACUUUUUAGAGCUGGCUGACCUGACUGGAAGAAUCCGUGACCAGAAAGAGGAGGAAACACAAGAAGACUGGAAGAAAUUCAAGGAAUAUUUACCUAGAUAUUGUAAUAUAAGAUAUUAAGAAAAGCUUAGAAGUAACAGAUUAGGCUGAGGGAUGGAAAAAAGGUUAACAAAUAGUGAAUAUUAUGGAUUACAAUAGGGAGUAAAGAUUAGAAAUUCGUAAUUUUUUUAAAAAAGAUAUUGGUGUUAUAAAAUAUGAAAUUGGGAACUGCUAAAUAUGUGAUAUGAUGAAAUUCGGAUUGGAGGGUGUCGAAGAAGUCUUUUAGCAAUGUAAAUAUACCAGGAAAUAAGAAGAAAUAAUUCUUCUUUCAUUGUUUUGUUUUUAUUGUUGUUAUGUUUUUAUGUUGUGUUAAGUAUAAUGUUUUUCUUUUGUGUUUAUGUUUUUGUGUUAUAAGAGAAAAUCAACAAUUUUUUGGAAAAUAAAUAAAUAAAUAAAUAAAUAAAUCCACCUUCCUAUUUUGAUUCUCUGGCAUCCUAUCUGCAUAACCUAGCAAUCCCAAAAUAUAGACGUGCUUUUACUCUCGCAAGAUUGAAUGUCUUGCCCUCGGCUGUACAGAUUCCUCACGAAAAACACUUACGUCCAUGUGGAGAUGGCAGUACCGAAUGGGUGGCUUGUGCCCUUCUGGCUUGCACUCUUUAUAAAGACUUGAGGAAUGAGAUUAUCACCCUUCUUUUAUUGUCCAUUCUGGGUUGCCCAGCCACUGCCACAGUGUCUUUUCUCUUGGCAGAUCAAGAUGAGCAGGUGACAGCAAAGUUUGCAAGGUUUUUAGCUGGGGCAAUCAGAGUAAGAUCCACCAUUCAGGACCUUAAACUAUGUUUUAUAUAAUCAACUUUUUAUUUCUGUGUAUAUUGCAAUGUUAUUUUGUUGCUACGGCCUAUGGCAGACGCAAAUAAAGUUUCAUUCAUUCAUUCAAGUGCAUUUGAAAGACCUUCUUCCAUACAGACCCCCUCAAAGGUUGGAAGAAACCCUCCUAGCAGUUCUGCCAGUCUUAGAAGCUUUGGAUGUGGCUGCUUGGGAGAAGGGAGUUUUCCAUGACAGCCCCUCAGCUGUGUGUGGCAUUCCCUCUCCAAACAGAUACACCUGGCACCUUCAUUGUAUUGUUUCUUUACUCUGAUCUUUGACACCUAAUAUAUGUUUUUAGAACCCACCCAAGCUUCUGAGUGUACGUUGCUUUAACUGAUUUUCAUACACCCCGGGGAAGGCUUUGACUGGCUUGCUAAACCAGGUGAGGGUAGUUAGUGGGUCUCAAACCCUCAGUGAGUUAGGAACUUCCUCUGCAUGCAAAGACAGACUUCAGAGGAUUGAGUGGAUGAGACAAUAAUUUCUGCAUGUGCUGUAGAGGGAAGUGAUGGGCAGAUGGAACUUGUCCACCUGGGUAGACCAUCUAGGAGAAGGAAAACUCUGAUCCUAAACCUCCACUGCUUUGUGGGAUAUCUUUGGGAGAAGAAAAGGGUAAGGAGUGAACCCUACACAACUCUGGAGUGGAGUCCUUAAGACGGGUGCAUGGCACCUUUUGUGUCUCCUUCCAGCAACUCCUGCAGCCGAGCUGGUGCCAAACAUACUGCUCUGCUUUCCUUCAGACCCCAUCAGCGAGGCUGAGAGAAGGGGUCUUGUCAUCUUGGCAGCCCAGGACCUCCAGACAUACUACUCAGGCCUGCACUUUGGGGAUACAGCAGUUUGACUUGGAGGCGCACUCCAUUAUCUCUCGAGACAGCCAAUAACAAUCCAUCCUGGGACCUUAUGUCGAAGGCUAGGUAAGAAUUUCAGGAAAUAAAAUAAUAAUAAUAAUAAAAUAAAAUAGUUUUUCCUUUCGGUGUAUCUUUGAUGAUAAUGAUAAUUAAUAAUAAUAAUAAUACCCCAUCCAUCUGGCUGAAUUUCCCCAGCUAUUCUGGGUGGCUCCCAACAGAAUUAAAAGCACAAUAAAACAUCAGACAUUAAAAACGUCCCUAAACAGGGCUGCCUUCAGAUGUCUUCUAAGUCAGAUAGUUGUUUAUUUCCUUGAGAUCUGAUGGGAGGGUGGUCCACAGGGCGGGCACCACUACCGAGAAGGCCCCCUGCCUGGUUCCCUGUAGCUUCGCUUCUCACAGCAAGGGAACCACCAGAAGGCUCUCGGAGCUGGACCUCAGUGUCCGGGCCGAACGAUGGGGGUGGAGACGCUCCAUCAGGUAGGGAUGGAUCUAGCCCCAAUUAGUUCCCAUUGAAAUAAAAAAGUUAAAUUUCACACUGAUUUCUAUGGGAUCGAAGUGUGACUGAGGUUGCAAUCCUAUACCCACUUACCUGGGACUAACCCUCAUUUAAUUCACUAGGAUUUGCCUCUGAAUUGACAUGCAUAGGGUUGGUCUAGAACAUAUAGUCUGGAUCUUUCUCCUUCCCCAACAAACAUAGGAAGCUGCCUCCUGCUAAGUUAGACCAUUGCCCCAUUCCAUCUCUUUAUUGUCCACACUGACUGAUAGAAGCUCUCCAGGGUUUUGGACAGGACAGUCUCCCAGUCUACCUGGAGAUAUUGGGGAUUGAACCUGAGAUCUUCUACCAGCAAAGCAGAUGUUCUACCACUGAGCUAUGGCCUUCAAAGCUACUGUUUCAGACUUCCUAGCCAACUAUUCUGCAGUUCCUCCAUACUUACGCUGGCAAUCUGCCUUCUGCCUCCCUCGAGGCACAGAUCUGCUAAUGUCUGUAGGAAAAUGACUGUGACACUCAGAAAGUAGGGAUGGAUUUAUUCCAAAAUGAAAACACGAAGUCGGUGCAGUUUAGCUAACAAAAGACAUGUUGUUUAUACGCAUUAGGGGGAGGCAGAAGGCGGUGGAGAAAGUGAUGGCUUUAAGAGGUUAUUAAUCGAGGUAUAUAAAAUCCUAAUGGGCAAUGUCAUCCAAAGUUACAAUUUUCAUUCCAUCCGAGGAGAUAAUGCUCGGAAGGAAAAGAACGCACAAUGAGAUACGAGAAACUGUCAAGAAUCACUCGGUUACAGAAGUGGUAACUGACAUGUGGAAUGACCCCUAAGUCAAAGUCAUCCGAAGCAAAAACAUUAGGGUAAUUAAGAAACACUUAGAUGUUAUACAGGGAGAAAUGAUGAAUGGCCCUUGGCACAACAUGCAUUUGCCUAACCGGACUCCGCAGAGAAGCAAGCUCUCAGAGAUGCUUCCGAUUUAACCACUCUCCCACAAACUGUGAGAGAGAUUCUUAUACAUUGCUAUUACGUUCGCAAAGGUAAAUCUGUACUAUGCAAUUAUGGCUGCUCAUUGCUCAACCUUUUGGCUAUGCUGUUAGCUUUUAGCACCCAAUAUAGUGGUACCUCAGGUUACAAACACUUCAGGUUACAUACACUUCAGGUUACAGACUCCGCUAACCCAGAAAUAGUGCUUCAGGUUAAGAACUUUACUUCAGGUUGAGAACAGAAAUCGUGCUCCAGCGGCAUGGCAGCAGCAGGAGGCCCCAUUAGCUAAAGUGGUGCUUCAGGUUAAGAACAGUUUUAGGUUAAGAACGGACCUCCGGAACAAAUUAAGUGCUUAACCCGAGGUAUCACUGUAAUAAGGUGGGAUCACAGAUACCUUCUGAAGCCCUACUGUGCCCCAAGAAAAUUACAACAACAACAACAUCAUAAUUUUUUAUACCCCACCCAUUUGGCUGAGUUUCCCCAGCCAUUCUGGGCAGCUCCCAAUCAAGUGUUAAAAGCAAUACAGCAUUAAAUUAAAUAUUAAAAACUUCCCUAAACAGGGCUGCCUUCAGGCUGUCUUUUAAAAAUAGGAUAGCUUCUUAUUUCCUUGACAUCUGAUGGGAGGGUGUUCCACAGGGUGGGCACCAUUACCGAGAAGGCCCUCCGUUUGGUUCCAUGUAACCUCACUUCUCGCAAUGAGGGAACCACCAGAAGACCCCCGGAGCUGGAUCUCAGUGUCCAGGGGAGGCUGCAGGAGGUGGACAUGUUGUUUCUCCAGGUGAAAACAUAACCGAUAGGAAAGCAUCAGCUCAGUGACAUAUUGUGUUGCAUAUUGAGAGAAUGGACUUUGUGGCAGCAGGAGCAGGACACAUGUUAUAGAUCACAGUACUUGAAAUGGGUUUCACAGCCUGAAGUGCAUUGAAAAUGUUUGAGGGUUUCUCAUGUCUUAUGGUUUCUCAGUAGCUCUUGUUCCCAAAGCUACAGGUAAGCUUGGAAGGUUCCUUGUGAAAUAUAAAUGCUGAUAGUGUGUAUUUUCCAAAAUGACCUUGUGAAAUGCACACAUGUUCAUAAGGUGGGCUAGAAGCUAGACCAGAGGUUCUCAAACUGGUCUGCAAAUCUCCAGUGCUUUGUGGGCUUCAAUCAGGGAGAAUCAUGAGUAUAUCUGUACUUGGAUUCAGAAAGAAUACCGUAUUUUUCGCUCUAUAGGACGCACCCGACCAUAGGACGCACCUUAUUUUAGAGGGGGAGAACAAGAAAAAAAAAUCUCCCCCUCUCUGCACAGCGCCCCUUCAGCAAAGCAGCAGGAGAAAUGGAGCCCCUUCCAUUUUUCCUCCCGCUUAGCUGAAGGGGCACCUACCCUUCAGCGAAAGGUACCCGAAGCCUCCGGAGCACAGCGGGAGCUCCCACCGCGCUUUGGAGGCUUCAGGCGGCUAUCUUUGAAGCCUGGAGAGCGAGAGGGGUUGGUGCGCACUGGCCCCUCUCACUCUCCAGGCUUCAGUGAAGACAACCCGAAGCCUCCAGAGCGCAGCGGGGCGCUCCCACUGCGCUUCGGAGGCUUUGCGUUGCUAUCGCUGAAGCCAAGGAGCCUGCAUUCGCUCCAUAAGACGCACACACAUUUCCCCUUAAUUUUUGGAGGGGAAAAUGUGCAUCUUAUAAAGCGAAAAAUACAGUAUUUUCUGAUAGCAGGUCAAGGCCACUUGGGAGACCUGCAGAUAUAGAGUGGUAUACAAAUAAUAAUAAUAAUAAAUAAUAACAACAUCAAUAAUAAAUCAACCCAUCCACAAUGUAAGCUCUGUAUGCUUCCUCCUUUCCCCCAUCCAUGGCUUCUUGGAGUAGGUUCUGCAAUAAGCAGGACACAAAUGAAGGAGAAACAAGCUUUCUUCUCCUGGAUGAAGUAAAUGAAUCAUAUUUGGUCCUCGUUUGGAGGCCCCAGAACAUUUGCUUCUCAUUAUGCUACAGGGCUGUAGACAUGAUUACAUUAUUUUGAAAAGCAAAAAGAAAAAGAAAAAGAAAAAAACAUGUCUCUGGUGUUCUGGGAAGAAGAGGUACUGGGUGCAUAAACUAGUAUAAAAUUACAGGCCUGAUUAAAAGGAAGAUUUUCAGCUGCGGCUUCCAUGUCAGCUCUUCAUUAGAUUAAGAUUGUAUCUUACUAAAGCCAAGUACUGAAGCCAGCAUGGAACAUUCAUUUGGCAUAUGAAAAGAAACAUAUAUUUGGUCAACAAUGCUUCAAGAGUGUCUCAGCUCACUGGCGGGAUUUACAGGGGAUGUGGGCAGAUAGGUAAAUGGGUAAGCAGGAAGGAAAGCCAUUGCAAAUGGCUUAGGCUGCAACCCUAAGCACAUUUACUCAGAAGUACGUCCUAGUUAAUUCAUUGAGGCCAGGUAAGCGGGGGUGGGGCUCCAGCCUAAGAUCCCAAGAUAAGUUAACCAAAGAAGUUCACAGAAGGUAAGUUUUCUGUUGCCUCCUCCUCUCCACCCUGCAGCCACCAGCACCCCUAGAAGUCUCUCCAGAGAACAGGGAACUCUUCUGAACAAUGUUCUGAGAGAGGAGGGGCUGAGAAUUGUUUCUAUGAACUUCCCUAAGUUAACUUACAUUAGGAUCCAAGCCAAUAUCAGAGGAUUUAGGGUAGUGCAAGUUAUGUGGUCACACGGGGCACACAGCAGAGGAGGGUGCCUUCUCUGGCAAAAAAAAGGAGGAAUUGUGAGGACUCCCAAAGGUAUCUCCCCAAACUGGGUGAAUGGGCAAUUUGAACUGUCAAAUUCAAUCCUGUCUACUGCCCUCAGUGCUGAAGGCACCUUGCCUUUGAUUACUAGCUGCUGGAGAAUAUGAGUGGGAGAAUUUUGUUGUGCCCAUGUCCUGUUUGUUGACUUCCCAUGGGCAUCAGGUUGGGAAAAUAAGGGUCUAAUCCAGCAGGACUCCUACUAUCUUCUUCUGUUCUUAAAAUUAUUGGCAGCAGGAGGGAGGAGUGAAGCUAAAUGACCAGAAUUGUGAAAAUCUGCUUCUCUGUUUCCCAAUCACAAUUUAAACUUUUUAGCAAGGAGUGUAUGCAGCCCCGGCUAUUGCUUCUGCGAACAGCCUCACUAAAGUUAAACUUUAUACUUUCUUGUGCCUGCAGGUAUAGCGUUCCGAGGAUUCUUCACGGAAGAUAUUGGCCAAGACAUCAAUUCUGGAAUUAAUCACUUAAUCAAACGAUAGAUCCUCCCAUAGCUUGUCAGCAUGAUUUCUGCUGCGAUAAAUCUUAGCAGGCUGAAGCAAAACACAACAGAAAGUGUUGUUUUUAGGAUGCAGGAAAGAGCUUGUGCAGUAGGUCAAACUCAAGGGAAACUGAGGAUGUUGCAUCCUCCAGCACAGGUAAGCCUAAGGAUUAUGUGGUUACAGAUGUGACAAUUGAGAAAACAGAAGAGUAACUUGUGAAUGUUAGUGUAAAAUUACAGAAUGCCGAGAAGUAAUUAUAAGAAUAAGAAUUUAUACCCCGCUCAUCUGGCUGGGUUUCCCCAGCCACUCUGGGUGGCUCCCAACAGAAUUAAAAGCACAAUAAAACACCAGACAUUAAAAAUGUCCCUAAACAGGGCUGCCUUCAGAUGUCUUCUAAAAGUCAGAUAGUUGUUUAUUUCCUUGAGAUCUGAUAGGAGGGCGUUCCACAGGCUGUGCGCCACUACCGAGAAGGCCCUCUGUUAAGACAUAGGCAAACAAGGGUGAGUCUUAAGAAACUUAUUUAUGUUCCAUUACAUAAAUUACAUUUUUACCUUCUGUUGGGAUCCAUCACUUGUAAGCUGCAAACUGCACAGGAAGAAGAAAAAGAAAAAGAAAAGGAGGAGGAAUGUUGUUGCUGUUGUUAAUAAUAAUACCCUGCCCAUCUGGGGACAACGUAGGCUAUGAUUAGCUAAGGGUCAAGCAAGACAAGAUGAUGAAUACAGUGGUACCUCGGGUUACAGACGUGUCAGGGAUCUGCCAUCGGAAGGAAGGGAGGUGAAAGGGCUCACACAGGUUGGGAGAGACUCAGCAGCUGGAAGGGAGGUGAAAGGGCUCACACAGGUUGGGAGAGACUCAGCAGCUGGAAGGGAGGUGAAAGGGCUCACACAGGUUGGGAGAGACUCAGCAGCUGAAGAGGGAACCAGUAGGGGGAGAGAAGCUGAACUGAGGGAAAGUGAGCUGGGGGGAUGGCUCAGAGACACUUCCAGCGAAAACAGUGGGGAGGUUUCAGGACCUCCUGUAGGGACACCCACUCCUCGCCGGAAACUGUCACGCAGAGACUCCAGAAGACGUGUUUCCGUUAAGGAGCUUUUAUGUUGGAAGCGAUUACAAAGCAACCACUGUCGGAAUCUGCUAGUGACUAGAGGAGCCAUGUCUGAGGGGCUCCGUCACAGACAGAGGUUUGUGGACUUGAACAAACUCUGAGGGAAUACGAUUUUACGCACAAGCAGCUCAUCAUCCCAUCACAGCAUUCCGACAGUCUUUGAAAGCAGCUUGUGCAGGAGAAGGCAUCAUGAGCAACCCAGCCGGAACCGGAGAAGCAGGAGCUGGAGCGGGUCCAAGCCUGGAAGAAAGGUACCGGGUGUUGGAGGUCCAGCUAGCGCUGCAGACGGCGAGGCUUGAGGAGAGGAGGACUCAGGAUGCAGACAAAAAGGAGAAAGCCACCCAGCUUGCCAGAAAGGUACCAGGAUUGGUGCAGAAAUUUGGGGGGGAGCCCAAAGACUAUCAUGGCUUUCGGACAGAAAUGCAAUAUGCCCUCAAUCUGCAGUUUGAUGAAUUCCCUGAUGAGGAAUCACGAGUGGCUUUUGUCAUUGGGCAUCUUGAAAAGGGGGCGAGAGACUGGGUUAGACCCCUGAUGGCAGCGCAUAGUGACGUCCUAAAGGACACGAUGAAGUUCUUUCGCGCCAUGGAUCUGAUGUUUUCCAGCAAUAUUGAACAGGGAGUGGUGCGCAGACAGUUAAUGGCUUGCAAACAGGGGAGCCGAUCUGUCCGUGAGUACUGGACUGAGUUCACCAUGCUGGUGCACAGAUUGGGGUGGGACUUAUCGGCGGAACCCAUUCAAAUGCUUUUUGAAGAAGGGCUUUCUUCGGCUGUGAAAGACGAACUUUCCCGGGCGCCCAGGGCGGAGUCUAUGGACCAGCUGACCAAAUCAGCGCUGACCAUAGGAGCGCGCCAGGAGGCGAGAGCUUUGGAGAGGCGGGAAGGGAAGGGGGAACGUUGGAAGGAGUUGCGCAUUCCAGACAUUCCAGAGCCAACUUUCCCGCCGGCAGAGCCGAUGGAAAUCGGAACAGCGCGCGCGCGCGCAGUUUCAAAGCCCAGUAAGGAGGGAAAAGGCGCCCGGAAAUGCUAUCUCUGCCAACAGCCAGGUCACUUUGCCAGAGUCUGCCCCCAGAGGAAGGAAUGGCAAGGGAUGGUGGGGGCUGUGGAGGGAAGAGAGGAAGGAAUACCGGAGCAAGUAAAAGCCAACGCCUGGCUGCCAUUGUCGGGCACAGCAGCCAGGCCAAAGAGCAGUGAGAGUGCCCACGCCAGAACCUCCUAAACCCGCCCUAGUGAUAGAAGUGGCGCUAGAGCUGCCAAACGGACACCCUCUAAAGAUAAAGGCGCUGUUGGACUCAGGCAGCUCCUGCAAUUUCAUGAGCAAGGAGUUUGCAGCUGAACACCAGAUACAGACGAUCCCUUUAAGCAACCCCCUGCAGGUGACCACGAUCGAUGGCAGGGAGCUGUUGGGAGGAGAAGUCAGCUUGCAGACCGUCCCAAUGAUAAUGAAGGUGGCAAGGCACACCGAACGGAUAGCGUUUAAUGUGGCCACCUUGGGAGGAGCUCCCAUUAUAUUGGGGAUGAGCUGGCUAGCGUUACAUGAUCCGCUGGUGGGCUGGCAUCAGAGAGUGGUUUCUUUUGGUUCAGCACAUUGCUUAGAACACUGCAAAGAGGGAAAGGGUUUGGCAGGUACCCAAGCCACCCUAGCAGGGACUGAAGUAACGGAAAACGUGAAGGUACCACGACAAUACGCAGAUCUCCGCGACGUCUUCAGCGAAAGGGAAGCUGACCAAUUACCACCGCAUAGACCCUUUGACUGUCAAAUAAUUUUACUCCCUGGGGCACAGCUCCUGUAGGCAAGCUGUACGCCAUGUCAGACAGAGAGAUGCAGGAGUUAAGAGAGUUCAUUGACAAGAACCUGAAGAGAGGGUUCAUCAGAGAGUCCAGGGCGGUGGGGGGCAGCCCAGUGUUUUUUGUGGACCAAAAAAACACGAACAAGCCGAGACUGGUGUGUGACUUCAGGGCCUUAAAUGCAGUGUCAGAACCAGUGGCCUUCCCUAUGCCCAGGAUUGACGACAUUUUGACAAGGGUGCGGAAGGGAAAGAUUUUCACAAAGCUGGAUCUAAGGGGGGCGUACAACCUGAUACGAAUAAGGAAGGGGGAUGAAUGGAAAACCACCAUGUUCACCCCUUUAGGGGCAUUUGAAUAUUUAGUUAUGCCCUUCGGUCUACAAGCAGGCUCCGCAACAUUUCAAUCGUUUAUGAACCACGUCCUGGGGCCUUUGCUUUACAAGAACUGUGUGGCCUUCUUAGACGACGUGUUGGUGUAUUCUGAGAAUGAGGAGCAGCAUGUGAGAGACGUCAGAGAAGUGUUGAGCAGGCUGCAAGCCAACCAGCUGUGGGUGAAACUGGAGAAGUGUCAGUUUCAUACCAAGGAGGUGGAAUUCCUGGGGUAUCGCCUGUCUGACAAGGGAUUGGCUAUGGAUCCUGGCAAGGUCCAGGCGGUGCUGGAAUGGAAAACACCCAAAACAAGGAAGGAUGUGCAGAGGUUCCUAGGAUUUGGGAACUUCUAUCGUAAGUUCAUCCGAAACUUUGCCCACCUGACGGCGCCCAUUACGGACUGUCUCAGCAGUAAGAAGAAGUUCAUUUGGACUGAGGAGGCGGAGCGAGCAUUUGAGGAACUAAAAAGGGCCUUUGCCUCGGAACAACAACUCCUGCAUGUGGAUUUACAAAAACCGAUGAGAGUGGAAACUGACGCAUCAAACAGAGCGAUUGGGGCGGUGCUUCUGCAGCCAGGGAAGGAGGAGUCAGAGUGGAGACCGUGUGCCUUUUUUUCGCGAAAGCUGAACAAAUCCGAGAGGAACUACACGGUGUAUGACCGAGAACUACUAGCCAUUCAUGAGGCGUUCCGGAGAUGGAGGCACCUGCUAAUUGGCGCACAACAUAAGGUGCAAGUGUGCACUGACCACAAGAACCUAGAGUAUUGGAGGACGGCACGAGUGCUCAACCAACGGCAAGUGAGAUGGGCCCAGGAGUUCUCCAAAUUUAACUUUGAGAUUUGUUAUGUGCCAGGCCCAGAGAACAUUAGGGCGGACGCUCUCUCACGCAAACCUGAAUAUUUGGAAGGGGAGGGAGCACCCGAAGAGAGACAUGUCAUUCCAGAGGACCGCUGGGUGUGUGGGCGGCAUUGGUGGGACAAAGAGAACUGGUAGAGGAAACAGAGAAUGAUGAAUACGCCCAGAAUAAGCUCAGAGGUCUUAGGGGUGAGGGAGCGGAACCAAGGGGUUUCGAGGAAAGAAAUGGAGCUUUGUAUUACAAAGGGGCACUGUAUAUCCCUGAAGGAGACUUAAGGGGGAGGGUACUCAAGCAGUUGCACGACAGCCCCACGGCGGGGCAUUUUGGACAACACAAAACCAUGUGGUUGGUCACCAGGGAAUUUUGGUGGCCUAAGGUGAGGGAAGAUGUACGUGAGUAUGUAAGAGGGUGCGAGCAAUGCCAGCGAGCCAAAGGGGAAAGGCGGGCGCCGGCGGGGCUAUUAGAACCCUUACCAACCCCAGAACGACCUUGGGAGGCAGUGUCGAUAGAUUUUAUGACUGAUCUGCCGAAGUCCAAAGGGAAAACAGCCAUCAUGGUGGUGGUAGACCUACUAACAAAGAUGUGCCACUUUGUAGCUUGCUCGCAUGCAGUCACGGCGGAAGAGACAGCGAAGUUAUUUGUAGAACACAUUUUUAGGUUGCACGGGGUGCCAUUGAGGGUGGUCUCAGACCGAGGAAAACAAUUUACUUCCAGGUUCUGGAGGAAGCUCAUGAGCUUACUGCAGGUGGAGGUCAACUUUUCGACUGCUCGGCACCCUGAAACCAACGGGCAGGCGGAAAGAGCAAACGGUGUCCUCCAGCAAUACCUGAGGUGUUAUGUCAAUGACAGAGAGAAUGACUGGGUAGAAAAGUUGGCGCUGGCGGAAUUUGCCUACAACAAUGCCGAGAAUGUGUCCACAGGGAUGAGCCCCUUCUUGGCUAAUUAUGGGUGUCAUCCCAGGGCUUUCCCAGGGGGAGAAGGGGAGAGAUGGAGCGUCCCGGCAGCCGAGCAUUUUGUAGAAGAAAUGGAAGCAAUCCAUCGUCAGCUCCAACUCAACUUAGAAAGGGCGAAGGAAGAAUACAAGAGGCAGGCAGACAAGAACCGGAGGGAAGGUGAAACCAUAAGGGUGGGAGAUAGGGUGUGGCUGUCAACCCUCGGGUUGCCGUUCAAAGGAGGUUGUAAGAAAUUAAGACCCAGGAGGUUGGGUCCCUUUGAGGUCAUUCAACAGGUCAACCCAGUGGCUUUCAGGCUCCGGUUACCCAACCACAUGAAACUGCACCCAGUAUUUCACAGGUCGUUACUGUCACCGUACGAGGGGGGACGAGAAGGGAUGGCCACUAGGGGGCCGGUCAUAGAAGAAAGAGAAUGCAGCAGCCAUGUGGCAGAAAUCCUUGACGCCAGGUGGAAGGGGGAUCAGGUGGAGUAUUUGGUAGCGUGGGAAGGAGAACCGGAGUCAGAAAACACUUGGGUAAUAGCCGAAGAUAUCAAUGACGAGGUAUUGAUAGAAACGUUCCAUCAAAGGUUCCCAAGGAAACCUCAGCCUGUGGAGAGGUUCCGGAGGGAAUACUUUGGGACCACUGAUGAGGAGGAGGAGUUGGAAGGAUUCCCGGACUCGGAAGGGGAAGGGGAGAUGGACUCUGAGGAGGAGGAGUGCUUCGAGAUCAGGAACCGCAACAGGUGGAGAGAAGUGUUCGAGACAUCGGAAGAUGAAGGAAGUUCAUUCCGGGGUUUUGCCUCCUCACCGCCCGUACAGGAGGGGGCGAGAGGGGGUGAAGGGGGCCCUGGAGGGGAGGUGGAUGUCAGGGAUCUGCCAUCGGAAGGAAGGGAGGUGAAAGGGCUCACACAGGUUGGGAGAGACUCAGCAGCUGGAAGGGAGGUGAAAGGGCUCACACAGGUUGGGAGAGACUCAGCAGCUGGAAGGGAGGUGAAAGGGCUCACACAGGUUGGGAGAGACUCAGCAGCUGAAGAGGGAACCAGUAGGGGGAGAGAAGCUGAACUGAGGGAAAGUGAGCUGGGGGGAUGGCUCAGAGACACUUCCAGCGAAAACAGUGGGGAGGUUUCAGGACCUCCUGUAGGGACACCCACUCCUCGCCGGAAACUGUCACGCAGAGACUCCAGAAGACGUGUUUCCGUUAAGGAGCUUUUAUGUUGGAAGCGAUUACGAAAGCAACCACUGUCGGAAUCUGCUAGUGACUAGAGGAGCCAUGUCUGAGGGGCUCCGCCACAGACAGAGGUUUGUGGACUUGAACAAACUCUGAGGGAAUACGAUUUUACGCACAAGCNNNNNNNNNNNNNNNNNNNNNNNNNNNNNNNNNNNNNNNNNNNNNNNNNNNNNNNNNNNNNNNNNNNNNNNNNNNNNNNNNNNNNNNNNNNNNNNNNNNNGUUACAGACUCUGCUAACCCAGAAAUAGUACCUCGGGUUAAGAACUUUGCUUCAGGAUGAGAACAGAAAUUGCGCAGCGGCGGGGCGGCAGCAGUGGGAGGUCCCAUUAGCUAAAGUGGUACCUCAGGUUAAGAACAGUUUCAGGUUAAGAACGGACCUCCAGAACGAAUUAAGUUCUUAACCCGAGGUACCACUGUACAUGUUUGCAUUUAACAUGUCUCCUUAUUUCUUCAAAAUUAUAGCCAAAUUGAUCCUGACUAGGCAUGUGGUGUGUGUGUGUUUGUUACCCUUCCUCCAUGGUCCUUGCGAAAAACUGCAUCUCCCCAUAAAAGUGCUUGUUAUCUCUGCAAGAGAAACUUCCACCGCUACCAACAGAAGCUUCCUCCCCGGGCUAGUAGUUGGUUUGCAGGAGAGACAAAUUUUAGGGAGAAUUAUAAUCCGCUUUCCUGUGGACUGUGGUCCUGAUGGUUAUUGGCCUGUGCUGCAGAAGAUACUUGGAAGAAAAGAACCAGAUGUGUGAAAUACAACCACCCUUUUAACGUCAUGUCUAGUUUGCCUGUCAGAGAAUUGUCCAAAGGUUCGUAAUGCAGUUGUACUGCAGAAAUUAAAUACCUACAUGGAUGGAAGACUGUAUGUCAGUGAAAGACAUUCUGAGCUACUUCAGAAGUGAGCAGAGUAUAAGAGGAGUGAUUCUGAAGGCACUCGCCUUAGUAGUCACGUGUAAUGAUUCUAGUGUAAUAAAUGUGAGGAUUACUGAACAAGGUGCAUUGCAAAAUGCAAAAUUGCAGGGCUGCGUGCAAUUUUCUUUUUUGCAAGGGUGAUGGAAAAUAUCUACCAGUGGAAGCAAGCCACUGUCUUCCCUGCUACACCACUGCUGAAAUGUGUGCUUCUGCAAUAGAAUUUUUGAGAUGGAGGAAAGCCUAUAAUAAUAUCACUUUUGUUUCAGUGCUAUUUUUAUAACUGUGUUACGCCUCAGUAGGGGGAAAAGCUCGUGGCGUAGACUGUUUCUAUUUUCGCUGAAAGUGCUGUCAAUAGACUUGCUUCUAGAGGAGAACCUCGAAUUAAUCCUUUAGCCUGUGCAUGCAGUGAAGAGCCAUCUGCCUGAAUGGAAAUACUUUAAGAUACAACGGUGCUUUCUUUUUCCUGAAACAAAGCUGUGAGGGGAAUUAAAAGCCAUAAAAUUCAAAGCUACUAUAGGGACAUCAGAGUAGCCAGGGUCAGUGAAUUACCCUCUGUUAUGUAUUCAGUGGUCUGUGUUUGCCUGAGCUUGAGUCUGGAGACUGAAAGAAUCUGAGCUCCUGUGUUCUGAUUCGAUACAUGAUAUCCAAUCACAGAACAUUUCAGGAUUUGGGCCUCUGCCAUUGGCCCUUAAACUCUGAGUCAUGAUUCGCAGCUUGGAAGUUUAGACAGCCAAUCACGUUGCGAGUGGGAGUUGCCCAGGCCUUCAGAAAUGUAUAUAAGCAGUUGCUUAGCCCCUGUUGUCCAGUUAUGUAGUUCAAUAAAUGUUCUUGCUGUUAUCGCUGUGUCUUGCCUCGCAGGAGCCCACCUAUACUUCACCCUCAAUCAACAGUCUUCAUUUCUGCAGUCAAUAAAUACCUUCCUUAAAAAAACCCUUUUUGCAACCCAGGAUCAUCCUCUGAUCACUUUAUUGUUAUAGAUUUGGGAGCCUCUCCCCAACCCUAGAAAUUAAUAACUUUUAGGAUUUUGGUUAUUUGGGAUGUGGAGGGAGAAAUACAAGCUGCAGAGGAACUCCUGGGCUGGCCUAUGCAAAACGACCUGGCCAUUAAGAAACAUUACAGUGUCAUUGAGGGCCAUUGGCAAUGCAAGAGAACUGUCCUCUCCCCUUGCCCUGAGGUGUGAACAGAAACUGGGGGGUUGGAAGGUUGCCAGGGUAACUGGGUGUGAACUGACAGGAAAAGGGAAGGAAGACUGGGAUCCAUCUUGGGCAGGCUGGCUGAAGGCUGGCUGCACUGCUGUGAGAGAUAAGCUCCUCUUGAAAUGACCAUGCUGUAAGAGUUGGACUUCAGCCAUGCUAACUGAAGGUGUAGAUGGGUUAAUAAACCAUAUUUAUUUUCUUUUUAAAAGUUUUUAUUUAUACUUUUCAAGUUUAUACAUUUCAUUAGUUUUGCAAUCAAUUUAACACUGCAAAGUUUGCCUUCCUUUGCCCUCUUUCUGCGGUUCCUUAAAUUUAUUUUUUAAUAUCUUCUGCAUAUCCAAAUUCGUUUAAUUUGCUCAUUUAAUUAUCUACUUUAAAUAUAUACUCUUAUGAAACUGCAGGUUAUUACUGGUAAUGUUUUUAUUUGUUUGCAAUUUAUCUGUAAAUAUUCAAGAAAUCAUUUCCAUUCUUUUAUAAAAAGUUUGUUAUCUUGAUUUCUUAUUCUUCUGGUAAGUUUUGCCAUUUUUGCAUAUUCCAUAAAUUUUUGUAUCCAUUCUUCCUUUGCUGGGACUUCUGUUUCUUUCCACUUUGGGGCGAGUAGAAUACAUAAAUAAAUUUCUAUACAAUUUAGGUAGUUCUGUCCCUAUAAUUCCCAAAAGAAAAGCUCCUUUUUUAAUAUACAAAAUUUAUUUUGAACAUCCUUUUCAAUUCAUUGUAUAUCGUUUCCCAGUAAACCAUAUAUCCUAAAGCAGGCAUAGGCAAACUCAGCCCUCCAGAUGUUUUGGGACUACAACUCCCACCAUCCCUAACCACUGGUCCUGUUAGCUAGGGAUGAUGGGAGUUGUAGUCCUAAAACAUCUGGAGGGCCGAGUUUGCCUAUGCCUGGCCUAAAGCUAUGACAGUCUUCGCCGUGUCUCAAUUCUCUAAAGGUACACAGACCCUGGCUGAGUGCCUGGAAUCCCAUGGGCUAUUGCCACUGCUCAGCAGAGAGAGGGGGAGGUACCUAACUUUUUAAACAAUAUGUACCUUUUGUUCCCAAGCAUUUGGAAUUUACUCCAUUCCUCAAAGAGCUCUUCUUGAAGCACACCAUGUGUUCCCUGAUAUGUCCUAGGGCUGUGCACCAGAGUUAGCCAAGUCCCGAGCCAAACCUGACCUAUUGGGAUGAAUCCGGGCAUUGGCUGAGUCAGGUUGAGACAGCCCUAGAUCACUACCCAUUGAGUUGGGUGGUCCAGAGUGAUCCAGGGCUGUCAGGUGGUGGGAUAUCAGGCAGGAAUAAGAGGCAGGCUUGAGCGGGAAGAAAGAGAAACCUUGAAAAGGAGGGACCUACUGGGUAUCGGCAUCAUCAACAGGAGAUGGUCAGGUGAUUGUGACUAGAUGCCUUUCCCAAUCAACUUCUUCUUCCUGCCAGGUCUCUCCUUUUUCCUGCCCCUUGAAGCAGCAGCUCAGAGUAUGGUUACCAGAUAUCCCCAUUUCCCGGGGACAGUUCCCGGAUUUAAAAAAAUGUCCCCAGGCAAAAUUCGUCCCCAGAAUGUCCCCGGAUUUCAUUUAAUGUCCCCAGAUUUAUAUUUUAAGUGUUGUGGAUUUAUUAGUAGGGAAUGAAUGUUGCCUGAUUGGUUCAGCGGCACGAGACACAUCAUAUGAGGACUUACGGCGAGGCAAAAUGGCGGGCAGCUCCUGAAGCCAGCCAGAGACAACUGCGCUACCAGGCUGGCUGCGGGCUGCUGAGGCUGCUGCUGCAGCUGCCACUGCCGAGGGGGAACCGGGGACGCCUGGCACGUCAACUGGGGGACCCGCUGACCCGCCCCCAGCGACCCAAAUCGAGCUGGGAGUGAAAGCACCCAGCCACCCGGCUGACUGCCCAGUGGUGCUCUGGGGCCAGGAAAACCCUGCAGCUGACGCAGGGAGAAGGAGAAGAGGAGAAGGAGAAGGAAGAGAGAGAAAGAGGAAGGAGAAAAAAGAGGGGAGCCCUGACCUUGCUGCGCCGUCGCCGCUGAGGAGAGGUAGGAGAGCACCGGGAGGGCAAGGACAUGUGGCCGAGCCCAGGCCUGACCCGAGCCUACUCCAUGGCAGCUAGUGCUCCAAGAGAGCAGGCUGGUGCCCGGAGGAAGGCCGCGCGACAGAGGAGACCACAGAAGAACAGGUGUUACUUCUUCUUUUUAAAAAAUAACUUUCCCCCCUCUUUUUUUUAAAAAAGUGUCCCCGGAUUCUUUGAAAAAAUCUGGUAACCUUAGCCCAGAGGAUCACAUCAUUUCUCUGUGCAGUGCUGGUUGUUGUUCCUUUGGGAGCACCUUCCUUGAACACAGGGGAGUCACUCACAAAGUUGCAGCACCCCAUAGGACCGAACUCGCCUGCUCUCUGUAUGGGUUGCAUGGGAGAAGAAGAUGCAGUACCUUCUCCUUCCUCUUCUUCCUCCCUAUGAAAGAUCAGAAAAGAGAAAGGCUUCUUGCGUUGAUGAGGAGAUGAGAGUUUGUUUGUCUCGAAUUAUACCUAAUAUAAAUGAGAUUACAGUGGUGCCUCGCAAGACGAAAUUAAUUCAUUCUGCGAGUUUUUUCGUCUAGCGAAUUUUUCAUCUUGCGAAGCACAAAAUCCCAUAGGAAUGCAUUGAAAUUCAAUUAAUGCGUUCCUAUGGUCAAAAAAAGUCCAAACAAAGCCAAAUUUGGUACAACAAGAGUUUAUUAAGUGCUCUUUAAAGUCACACAUACUGUAAAGAGCAUUUCAAAAAUUGAAGGAAUAAUAAAUUAAGUUUCUAAACAUGACAGAAAAACAUUUAAAAAUCAACAAAGUGUACAGUACAUUUUCUAAGACUCUGGGGACAACUCGAAGAAGGUUCCUCUUCCACUCUUUGCUUCUUGCUGAAGAACCCCUCCUCAACUGUUCCCCAGCCACCCACCACACAGAAAUUCAAAUCCAGAAUUUUUUUUAAAAAACAGCAGAGUGGCCCAAUGGUCACAGAAAAUCAUAAAAAUGCAGGGGGAAAAAACAAGCUUCCAGAUUCUUGCAAACCCCUCCCCAACACCAAGUCCUUGAAUUCCAAACACCCCAACCCAAAAUCCAAAACCCCCCAAAAAAGUUUUAAAAGUUUAAAAGAAGUUUUGGAAAAGCUUCAAAAAUCACCAAAGUCUUCAAAAACCUCAAAAAAGGCUACCACACCAUGUUCUAUGAGUUGCUCCUCGAAGUCAAGUCACAACCGUAUUAACAGUGUUAAGAAAAAGGAAACAAACUUGCAAGACGUUUUCGUUUUUUGUCUUGCGAAGCAAGCCCAUAGGGAAAUUCGUCUUGCGAAGCAGCUCAAAAAACGGAAAACCCUUUCGUCUAGCGAGUUUUUCGUCUUGCGAGGCAUUCGUCUUGCGGGGCACCACUGUACCUGGGAAAAGCAAGCUCACACCUCCCAUUGGCUUUGCAUACAUAUGUAACAGGCUCAUUUAUAAUUUUAUUUUGGGAACGAUUCGUGGUCUUAUGUAACUGCAUUGUUUUAUGUUAUCUGGACAUGCCCCAUGAUCAUAUUAUAAAGUAGUUGUGUUCUAGGUUAUAAAUCAAGAACGGCUGGGAGCUGUUUCUUUUUGUUUUCCAAUGUAUUUCUUAUCAAUAAAUAUUUCAGUGUGACACGAGCAAAUUUUUAUUCUGAAAGGGUAGCCCAGAGGAAAAAAGUUUGAGAACAUGUCCUAAUAGAACAUGAUUCCAGAAGGCAUCUUAAUAUUGCAAAUGUUUUGGUUUUUUUUAAAAAAACAACAACUUAAUUUUCUGCAGAAAGGACAAAUGAGGAUUAAAUGAUUAAAAAAACAACAAUACAUGUAAUGAGUAUGGGUUGCUCGUGCGUAAGUUGCCGCCUCUCCUGGCUAUGUUGCCUUGUUUAAACCUUUCUGUCUGGACAGCCCUUCACUUCGUGGCUGCCUCAGUCGCUAGCAGAAUCCGUCAGUGGGCGUUUCUUAAACCUUUUCCAACAUAAAAGUUGUUUGACGCCAAGUCUCCUCCUACUCUCCCUGCGCGGAAGCCUUCUGCGCAGGGAGGGCAUGGGUAGCGGAGGACCCGGGCUCUCCCCGCUGGUGUCCGGUGAAGAGUCCUGGAGCCCUCUCGCUGAUUCCCCCAUCUGCCCCCCUUUAUCUCUGGUGUUGCGCUGAUUUGCUUCCCCAUCUGCUGAGCUGCCUCUCUCCCUGCUGGGCCCUUCUCCAGCAUCAUUUGAGAGCCUCCCCUCUGCCUCUAGCUCCGAUGUCAGUUCCCUGACAAUACAGGUUGGCAUUUUCAUGCUGAUUAUGAUGUGUGGACACUGUACAAAACUUGCAUGCAUGAGCAGUGUUGGUCUCACAAGAAACACCUGUCUGGAAGUAUCUGCUUAAACAGGCAAGAGCAAAGUGGGACUGUGAAUUUGGGAGGCAAGGAGGUAAGAGGUCCCAUGAACUCCUUGACCCGGGAAAGAAGCUUGGAAGAGACAUUUAGAGCAAAGAAAACAAAUGGGAAGACAGACGGUGGAAGAUAAUAGCCAGAAAGUUCAUGAAAGCAAAGAAAAGCUUUUAAGUGUGUUAUAGAAAAUACCUGCUCCUUUUCCCUUAUGGGGUAUCCAAGAGCCCAUAUAGAGUCCUUAAGUGGGUUCCCUAUUGGUAGGAGAAAAUAACAGAGGCCAAUGAGAGAAUACAGAGAAGGAAAGCAGCUAGAAAGACUGAUCUUUAUUAAACUGUUGCAACAGGGCCCUCACUCAACACAUGCAGGAGGGAGGAGAACCCAGAACAAUGGUGCAUAAGCCCUUAUUUAGAUUUUUGAAAUUGCUCACCCUGUAGCCCAAGACCCCCCCAAAAAAACAACAACAUCAUACACACAUCACAGAAGGAGAUGGUCUACAGCAGAAAUCCAGUCUGCCAGGAUAUCUGUUAAUGGUCACUGAUUGCUUUACCUGGGCAGCCUGGCCAUUCUUUUGUGAUGGUAAAUACUUAAAUUCCUGAAUCCAGGUCAUAGGCUCACCCUCUUCAUACACAGAUAUGGCCUUAAGACAGGUAAGCAAAAGUCAAUGGAAAGGGUCUCCCAUUUCCUUCCUCCUUGCAGAGAAAUGUUUGAGGUCAAUUUGGGAGAGCCAAAAUGGUUUGUGGGAGAGUCAAAAUGGCUUCAGGGUUGCUCUCCUGUACUAUUUCAGACACGUGGUUUAUAUACUUAUGAACGUGUUUGCCUUGUACAUUUAUGGACAUUUAUUUUUUAUUUGGGACCUUAGAAUUCUUAUAACAAGUGAAACGGAAUGAGUAGCUUCGUUAAGAGGAGCAUUGCAAGCCCACCUGGAAUAAUAUCCUGGGCUUUAUAAACAACGUCGUCUACCUAGGCAUAUCCCUCGUCGCAUUUAGCAAGGAAACCUCCACGGUGAAAUAGUUGCUGUGGGAGAGAGAUGAGAAACAUUAACUUAGCUGUUUCUCGACAAGGAAGAGCACAGCUGGCGAGGCCUGCUGUGAAGCGUGGCUUUUACAGCUUGGCGCUGUGUGUAUUUAGCAAAAGCAAACACAUCCUGCCCAGGGUUUUAAAAACACAAUUUGGAGGCCAGCCUCGUUUUGAAGGGAAACGGAGCGGAGAUGGUACGGCUGAAGUGGUCCCCCGAUAAAAAUUGCGCACUGUUGUUGUAUACUCCUGUCUUGGACCAGCCCAAACUGGGGAGGCCUCUCUUCAAAUCCUCGCUCACCCAUAAAGCUCUCGCUGGGUGGCCUUUGGGCAAGUAACUCCCUCAGGCAGAACUGCCUCAGAGGAAUGCUGCGAGCAUCAGAUGGGAUAACUUCAUGCAAGCUCCCUUGGGGAAAGGGUGUGAUAAAUAACAUUGCACAGCGAGAAUAGGACCGGAGCGAAUGGACUGUAGAAUUGGCUAUGGUUAUUCCAACUUGCAACUUGCUUCGCCUCUCUAGGGGAAAAAAAUAUGAACCGGGUUUAGGUGUGCCAGCAUCUUGUAAAAUGAGCCUGUGUGUGGCAUGGGGAAUGCAUGUUUUCCUGGCAGUGCAAGCGAGCCUCACAAGGAUAAAAGAGCACACUGUCCUCUGAGAAUAUUCCUCACAUGUGGCAAAGGCCUUUAGUGUCUGACAUCUGGAAUCGUACUGGAGGGGAUGGCUGUGUUGGUUUUGGGGAGGGAAAGUGCUGUCGAGGCCUCUGGUUCUCUCAGUGCCUUAGGCUGGGUUGUUGUUUAGUCGUUUAGUUGUGUCCGACUCUUCGUGACCCCCUGGACCAGAGCACGUCAGGAACUCCUGUCUUCCACUGCCUCCCGCAGUUUGGUCAAACUCAUGCUUCGAGAACACUAUCCAACCAUCUCGUCCUCUGUCGUCCCCUUCUCCUUGUGCCCUUCAUCUUUCCCAACAUCAGUGUCUUUUCCAGGGAGUCUUCUCUUCUCAUGAGGUGGCCAAAGUAUUGGAGCCUCAGCUUCACGAUCUGUCCUUCCAGUGAGCACUCAGGGCUGAUUUCCUUCAGAAUGGAGAGGUUUGAUCUUUUUGUGGUCCAUGGGGCUCUCAAGAGUCUCCUCCAGCACCGUAAUUCAAAAGCAUCCAUUCUUCAGCGAUCAGUCUUCUUUAUGGUCCAGCUCUCACUUCCAUACAUCACUACUGGGAAAACCAUAGCUUUAAGUAUACGGACCUUUUUCAGCAAGGUGAUGUCUCUGCUUUUUAAGAUGCUGGCUGGGUACUUCACAUCAAAGGGUGAGGCGUUACAGCCUCCUCUAGAAUGGUGAACACUGAGACUGGGAGCUGAGUGCUAAUCCAGACCAGGAUGGGCCAACAGGUUCAGAUUUACAAUCAUGCUUUUUAAUGUUAAGGAAGGGUUUUGAUAAUGUAGAUGGACACAUGACGCCCUACUUUUUAUGUUCAUAAUGUGUUAUUACCUUGUCUUUUUAUCACUUAGUUUAUAAUCGUUUUAUGCUGCUAUAUUGAUGAAACUCUGCUCACAUGUCACCCCUCCAACGGUAUUCACAGGACAGAUAACUAAGGACAUGGAGGGAGGGAGGGAGAAUUAAAAUAUGACACCAAAGGAUGGAGCAGUGCAACCAGCAGCAGGAAAAGAAACAGCGUUUUGGAAAAUGGUGUGGCUGGGUAUUACUUCCAUUUGACGGAAAAAAGCAAGGUAAAAGACAUUUUAAUUAACAAGUAUGCCUUGUGUCAUUUAAGAAUAACAUGAAAAUGCCAACCUAUAUAUAUAUAUAUAUUUGUCAUUUAAUCAUUAUUUGUCCUUUCUGCAGAAAAUAAAGGGUUUUUUUUAAUUGCAAUAUUAAGAUGCCUUUGGAAGCAUGUUCUGUUAGGACAUGUCCUCAAACUUUUUUCUCUGGGCCACACUUUCAUAAUAAAAAUUUCCUUGCGCCACACUGAAAUAUUUAUUGAUAAGAAAUACAUUGGAAAACAAAAAGAAACAGCUCCCAGCCUUUCUUGAUUUAUAACUUAGAACACAACUACUUUAUAAUAUAAUCAUGGGGCAUCCAGAAAGCAUUUAAAGGGGUUCUUCUCGGUGGCCUGGGGACCACAAUUUUCAUAAUACAGUAUUGGUUUUGAUGAUGAUACCUCUGUUGAAGAGACUAAUGUCAUUAAUAUAUAAGCUUUGUUUGUACUUUGAUUUGUAGAACAACAACAAGAAAAAGUUUAUUAAGGGGUCUACUGAGGCCCCCAGAAUUUUCAAGCUCCUGAAAUUUUCAACUGAUAUUCGUGGGGUGGGAAGUGUGUUCGAGAGCUGCUGCCCUAAAGCUUUUUCCCAGGUGGUAUUUUUUAAAAACACACACGCACACAUCAAAAUUAAAGUGUGUACCAUGUUAAGCAGGUUUAAGUGUGCGGUGGGCAAAUAAGCUUAAGGAUUAAACAGGCUAAAUCAUUUCUACAGCUUUAUAAGCUAUUAUGUGUUUUCUCUUUCUAUUUGCUUUGCUUAUAAAAGUUCAAACACUAACUAUCGGGGUUAAGGUACUUUAAUUGCCUGGGUUGUGUACCGAAACAGUUUCUCAUAAGCAGUUUCACAGUAGGCACUUGUUAAUAGUUUUCUUCUCGUUGUAUAAAAUAAGAUGUCGUGUGAGAGAUCAAAUAGUUUGUUCUUCCUCGGCUGUAGCCACUAUGAAUGAGCGGACUCCCAAACUGUAAUCCGAAACCAGAUGCAAAACGCAAAAUUUGAUGGGUUGGAAAACGAAGCCACUGUUUUAUUAAAAGGAGGCAAAUGCAUCUAAAGGGGCACAUCACGGACAAGAAACCCUUAAGGAUCUAUUAAAUAUAGAGACAAUCUAGCUUGUGGUGGGUCAACAGCUUUCAUAAGACUCUUUAGUCUUGGGCUAGCUUACAUACAUUCCUUGAAACAAAUUCUUUGCAUGCCCUCAAGAUGUCUGGAUUCUGACAUCUGGGAAUGUUUUAGAGACAGUCGUUUUACAUAUGCCAAGUUACUAUCAAAUGUCAUGAAUGUACUUCUGUUUCCAGCGAUUUGCUAUUUGCCGUUUAGUGCCAACUUGGAAUGGUACGGUUCAUGAGCCAGAAAUGAAUUUUGUUUCUCUCGCAGCUACUGCUUAUUUAAUUAGCGAGUACAGUGGACAGUUCUUGGUUUUACACCCGGAUCCGAAUGUUACUUACUUGGAAGUCAGUUGCAUUCAUUUCAAGGGAACAUACUUCCAAGUACAGCACUAUUGCAGGAAGGGAAAAUCUGCAGACCUUGGGAUGUUAUUGAACUACAGUUCCCAUCAUUCCUGACAACUGGCCAUGCUGGCUUGGGCUGAAGGCAGUAAUAUCUGUAAUAUCUGGACUUGGCUCAGGACCACAAUAUCUCAAGGACCGCCUCUUUCCAUAUGAACUUACACGGACCCUGAGAUCAUUUUCUGAGGCCCUUCUUUUUGUGCCUCCUCCUCAAGAGGUCCAGAGGCUGGCAACACGAGAACGGGGCCUUCUCUGCAGUGACUCCCCAUCUGUGGAACGCUCGCCUGGUGCCUUCAUUAUGUACCUUUAGGUGCCAGGCAAAAACGUUCCUUUUUAACCAGGCCUUUGGUUGAUCCAGUUUACAUCCUAGGCCCCUUUAAAAAUUUGUGGGGAUUUUUUUGGGGGGGGGGCUAUUGGGUUGUUGUUUUUAUUUUUAUUACGUCUUUUGUGGUUUUAUAUCUUGAUUUUAUUCUAUGACCCCUGGGUUUAGGGUGGGAUACAAAUUCAAUAAAUAAUAAUGAUAAUGUUAAUAGGUUCCCCAUCCUUGUGCUAUAGUAAUUUCCCACAGCAACUACUGCCACUGCCGCUCUUAAAUGAAACAUGAACACAGCGUCGCCUUUAAGUGAUAUGUGCCACAUAUCAUCUAGUUUGGCUCAAACUCUAUAAACAAAAGAAAUGAAAACAAAACUAUGGUGUUUUUUAUUAGAGGGUAACUAAAUGGUUUCUUAUCACUUCUCCAACGACAAUGUGUCUCAGCGUUUGAUUGAAGGGAGAUGAGCUGGAAAUAAAAAAGAGAGGAAAUUUAAAGCCCUGUCUUGUUGCAGAAGUUUAAUUUAACUGGCUUGUCACUCUUGCUUUGGUAAUAAUGGUCCUAUCGUGCUUUUCGAAGAGUAAAUGUUGAAUAAAAAAGUGGACUCAAGGCAUUUGUCAUUCUGUAAUUCAUUGCAGAAACCUAUGAGUUUUAUUGUGUCAAAUUAGUCUUUUGUUAGUAGUUUUAAAUUGUGCUUUAAUUUUCUUUUAGAAAACCCUUAAAUGCAAUUUCUCCCUUAAACAAUAGCUUUCUUGGAAGCUUAAAAAAUGACUUACCUUUUUGUCCUUUCUUUACUUUGUUGAGGACUAAUUAUUUUGCUUUAAUAAGGGAUUUGCAUAGUGAUAUAAGGCUGGAGAUUUCAAUUUUUUACGCAUAACUCUACAAACAGGAGGGCGCUUUUCACAUUGUCACCAGCACAUAAAGAAGACUUAACCAGUUGAAAAUGCAAAAUGCACAUUAUCACAUGUGCCCUAGUCUCCAAGCAGUGAGAUGCUUCAUACCUCAGAUUUGGAAUGAAGGUCACUGGAGAUGGUGGUGUCUUUGUGAGAUAUGGUUCUAUUUACAUAUAUAGUGAGGCAGAACAUAAGACAAAAGGACUCACAGCAUUAAUGGGACUAUUGCAGUGGUUUCCAAGCAGUGUGUUGUGGCACCCUGGGGUGCCUUGAAGGAUAGUCAGGGGUGCCACGGGCAAAUCUGGCCUCUGUGCCUCUUUCCUUCCCUCCCUUCCUCUGAUGCCCUCUUACAUCUCUGCCUCCCAAAGGCUUGCACAGCUGUUUGUUGCAGCAGCCCUGGCUACAAGCUCCUCAGGCGAAUGGUGCCUCUGGGACUGGCCAGGGGGUGCUUCCCAGGCUCCUGUGGGGCAGUGUGAGGAGGCACAUCUCUUUGGGGCAGAGGGGGGCAGCUCAGAGACCAGGGGUGGCAGCAGCGACUGCCCAGAGGACUCCCAAGGGGAGGGGAGAGGAGAGGAGGCUGAGGGAAUACUCCACAAGGGAGGGUGUUCGAAAAAGGGCGUGAGACUGCCGGCUCUGCAGGCAAGGGGUGACAUAACUGGGCUCCUGAGCCCCACAGGAGUGCUGCAGGAAGAAUGUAGUUGGUCAAGGGAGACGUGGACUCAAAAAUUGAAAACCUCUGGAGUUGUCAGGAACGUGCCUCCUCCCCCCACCAUACCAAGAGAGUCAGCCUCGGAAAUUGAGCUGAGUGAGGAAGAGGCUGACCCUAUAGCUGAGAGCUGUCUGCCUGAUUUUAAAGAGAACAGCCCGGGGCCCCUCCUUUCCAGGGAAGAAGUGGUUAGUUCCCAAGGGGAGGAAGAGUUGGAUGUUGACCAAGGUGUUGCCAGGCAACCAGCAGAUAAGGUGGUGUCAGAGGCUGAAUCUUCUGAGGAAGAGGUAGCUCGGCCCUGCAGUCCAAAACCAUGGAGAUCAGAGAAGCUCCGAGAGAAGCGGAAAGGAAGGAAAGGCGGGAUUUUGGCGUUCUUCCUGUUGGGAAAGGAACGAUGAGUUAGUCUGAGCAACUAGAUUAAUGGCAGCAAAUGCUCUGCAUGAGUUUUCCUUUUAAAUAAACUUGUAUAAAACUAAUGCUUGCUGCUUUAUCAGGCUGCUCACCUGCCAGAGAUCAUUAUAGGACUAUUGUGAUUGGGUUAAAGCCCCCUCCCUCAACAGUCUUAACCCAGCUCCCCCCUCCCAAUGCUCACUCUUGUGUUCACACUGCUGGCUUAAAAUACAGCCAGGUUGUUCUUAUUCUGUUUGAAGCUGGGGGUUUUGUUGUGGGCGGGAAUGCAUCAAAAUGCAUCAUUUCCUAUGAAACAGCAGGAUGAAUGCAUAGUAGAGAUGGAUUGUGACUAUUGUCAUGUAUACACAGCUUCCUUAACCAGCAGUGGGGGUGCAGAGUAAAUAAGGGUGCAUGGACAAAACAUGUGUAUUUAGUGGUGUACCAGCUACAAAGUGUCAAGGUGCAGGAUGAAUACCCUGUCUGGUUUGGCCUUCUGCAUCUCUGCAAAAGGAAUAGUUGUCAGCUUUUAGAGAACCCGCUGAUUUUACCAGGAUCAAACCCAAACGUAACAUCCAAUAUAUACACAUAACCCCACUUGCCAUGAAUGGCAUCGUCGUGAAGUUUCUCUGAGCUCAAAAGAGGCUGUGUUUUAUUGCCAUUCUGUUACACAGCGCUAGUUAGGCUCUGAUGGAUUAUCCCACGUGUAUAGACAAUAUUCCAUAUCUCCCCCAUAAUGCUUACAUCCUGUCCUGCAGUUUUACAGAUGUGUUAUAGCUGGAAGUAUUUUAAAAAAUAACGUGACGGAAAGGACGGGAAACAUAAGUAAUCAGGCAGAGGAGCCGCAUAAUGAACCGCUGUUGCAAACAAAAUGAGUUUCUUCGCGAAUAUGAUCAACUGAAAUGGUUGCAACAAAUCAGAGAUUGCGGCAGCACCACUGCAGUUUUGAAGAAUUAUGUUUAAUGGUCAUAUUUACCAGCACGUACAUGAUUCUUCCCAUCCACUGGGCCUAAACAACUCCACAAGAAUUAAUUAAGCUUCCCAUCAUUUUAUUUAUUUAUUUAAAAAAGCUAUCUAUGGGGGUAGGAGGAAAGAAUCUGAGUUGCUAACCUUGUUUUAGAGAUGAUAAGAAGAGAAAAAGACAGAUGGACUUGUUGAAUUUCACUGCAGAGUUUCUCCUACAACACAAUUAUGGGAAAGAGGACAUAAUGGGGAAGUGAUAAGGGGAGGGUGAGCGGAUUGCCACUCUGGCCCUCUCCUUGAUUUAUUUUCAGGAACUUCUUCAUCUGUUGAAGGUGGCCAAAGCUGGUUAGAAUGCAGGAGGUGGCUUUCUCUGUGGGGUUGGCCAGAUGCAAAAGAGGACUUAUCCUGCCCCUUUAAUAGCUGUACAGUGGUACCUCGGGUUAAGUACUUAAUUUGUUCCAGAGGUCCGUUCUUAACCUGAAACUGUUCUUAACCUGAAGCACCACUUUAGCUAAUGGGGCCUCCCGCUGCCGCCGUGCCACCGGAGCACAAUUUCUGUUCUCAUCCUGAAGCAAAGUUCUUAACCUGAAGUACUAUUUCUGGGUUAGCGGAGUCUGUAACCUGAAGCGUAUGUAACCUGAAGCGUAUUUAACCCGAGGUACCACUGUAUAAGAAGAGAGAAUUCCUUGUGUAUUUUCCUGCAUCAUACUUACAAUGCGUGUACAUCAAAUGUGAACGACAGUUUGUACAUCUUGAGUACAACUCGUAUACCCCUCUCUAGGAAACAAUACCCAAGCAGUUUGGCGUCAUUUGAAGGCUUAAGGAUGCAUGUACAUCACUGUAUGAAAUCUCCAUGCAAUACCACAAAGGGCCACCUCUCUCCCUAUGUACUGCCCCGGACCCUGAGAUCAUGAUCUGAGGCCCUUCUUCAUGUGCCUCCUCCAUGAGAGGUUCAGAGGGCGGCAAAACAAGAGCGGGGCCUUUUCUGUGGUGGCUCCCCUUUUGUGGAAUGCUCUCCCUACAGCAGAGAGCAAGGCAUAAAUGUUCCUCUUCAACCAGGCCUUUGCCUGAUCGGCAUCAUUUUUAUUGUGUAUUUUGUGUUUUUUUAAUAUUGUAUUUUUAUGCUGUGAACCAUCCUGAGAUCUACGGAUGAAGGAUGGUAUACAAAUUUAACAACCAAACAACCAAACAAACAAACAAUUUGCUCUGGGAAACAUCCUGAGACAACUGUAAGUGCUUGACACUGCCCAGAUAAUGUGAACUACAGUUCUACUCAUUAAGAUACAUAGAAUUAUUAAGGCUCUCUCGAAGUCUUUAGAUUAAAAAGAAAGAAAAGUAAACGACACAGAUGUAAUCCUGUAAUCAGUAACAAGGGGAAAAUGCAAGAUUUAUCCUGACAUUCAGCUUGGAAAAUAUUCAUGUGUUGUCAAUGCCGCUGUAAAAAUUCAAGACACACCACAAGUUCAGUCGAGCGUCACAAUUCACUCUGAGGUAAACAAAGAAGGCACUUAUCUGCCUAAAUCUGGACAGCUUCCCUGUGGAGAAAAUCAUGUACUGUAUAUUACUGCAGCAGAAGAAUGCAAACAUUCAUCACCCAAAGGUGUGCAUUCACCUUCUAGUUCUACAGAGUAAAUGGGACGCUUCUGCAGUCUCAUUAGACUGCGCUUAUUACAGAUGUCAUCUCAAUGGAAGGAAACAUCUACUCUGAUUUUAUAGCUGUAGGGUGCUAGCGCAGAGACUUCUCACCCAGCUACCACAGGGUAUAAUGGUGCAACAAAAAACAGCCUCCGACUAGCCCAAUACAGGCAGCGUCGUUCAUGUCGCAGUAGUCCGAUGGCAAAGAUAUGUCAACUUUGACGGCUGGGUAUUUAUUUAGCAAACUCUUAUCGUGCUCUUCCAGGGUAGAUCUGCAGUCAGGGUUUUUAACGUUAGGGAAGGGUUAAAGAAUGGUUUUGAUAACGCAGAUGGAUACAUGAUGUCUUGCUUUUUACAUUCAUAAUACUUUGUCCUUUUUAUUGCUUCAUUUUUAAUUGUUUUAUGCUGCUAUAUCGGUGAAGAACUGCUCAUAUAUCCCUAUGUAGUGUUUCUGAGCGCUCUGGUUUCCAUCACAGUGAAGCGUUGCGCCAGAAGCGGUUUAGUCCUUCUGGCCACAUGACCCGGAAAGCUGUCUGUGGACAAACGCCAGCUCCCUCAGCCUGAAAGCGAGAUGAGCACCACAACCCCAUAGUCGCCUUUGACUGGACUUAACCAUUCAGGGGUCCUUUACUUUUAAUGUAGUGUUUUACCUUUUCUUUUACCGCAUUCAAACUUGGACUGGCCUCCAAUGGUAUUCGAGGGCAUUCAAAUUAAAUUUGAAAGGCUGAUGUGCACAGAUAACAAAGGACACAGAGGGAUGGAGGGAGAAUUUAAAUCAGCCCCACCCCCCAAACUCAGGCCUCCAGAUAUUUUGGGACUACAUUUCCCAUCAUCCCUAACCACUGGUCCUGUUAGCUAGGGGUGAUGGGGGUUGUAGUCCCAAAACAUCUGGAGGGCUGAGUUUCCCUAUGCCUGAUUUAAAUGUUACACCAGAGGGUGGAGUAGAGCAACUAGCGACCAGCAGGGAAAGAAACAUCAUUUUGGAAAAUGCUGUGGUUCGGUAUUACUUACAUUUGAUGGAAAAAACCAAGGUGGAUGCCCUGUGAUAUUUUAGAACGACAUACAGUCCUACCUUGGAAGUAGAACGUAAUCCGAUCCGUUCAACUUCCAAAACGUUCGGAAACCAAAGCGCAGCUUCUGAUUGGCUGCAGGAAGAACGUUCACAAACUAGAACAGUCACUUCCGGGUUUGGGAGCCAAAACGUUCAAGAACUAAGCUGUUCGAAAACCAAGGUAUGGCUGUAUCUAAUACCAUUCUAAUGGGGGAAAUAAUGUUAAACAAGUUAGUGUAGACCCAGCCCUAGUGUAUGUAUGCUUCUCAGGGUGGCUUGCAUUAAUUAAAAAACACAGCAUCAAUCUUAUACUCAGUAAAAUAAAAUGCAGUAAGAAGAGGCUGUAGAUAAAACAUAGCCUUAAAAUACAAAAUAAGGUAAUUAGCAAGGCAAAAGCUUGCAAAAGGAAUAAAAAUGUCGUCACAAACAUUUGUGACAACAGCCAGCCAGAGAUGGACUCUACCCUGCUUUUUAAGGUGUGUUCCACAAUUGGUUCCAGCCACUGAAAGUCCUCACUGCUUGUCAACAUCAGCCAAUGGUUGGUGGUAACCAGAGGCAACUGCCAUGACUCCCAUCUUAGGUGAGACACAGAGAAAGGCCUUUUCAUCUGAUCUGAAGGAGCAGGCAGGUUGGUAAGGAGGAUAUAGUUUCCAAUUGGAUGAGGGACCGCAUGUUGAAAUUCCUACAUUGCUCAGGGUUGGGCUAGAUGACACUUGGGAUCGCAUCCAACUCUAGAAUUCUAAAAUUUUAUGAUUCUUCAGUGCUGCAGUCGCAGGUCCCAUGAUUCCAGUCUCAGUCUAGAAUACACCCUGUCUUUCUUCAUCAUCAUCUUUGGAAAUCACUUGUAGUCGAGUAAGAUUGUCUUCCGUAAACAUAGUCUUAACAGUGAGUCCAUAAGUGACUGUGGAGGCCAAUUCUGGAUCCACACGUCCUUCCACAGUGGGGACAUAGGUUUCCAGGCUGGAGUCGAUCAUGGUGUUUGCCAAAUAUGCCUUCCUCUUAGCACAUUUCUCCCUUUCAUCCUGAGUUUGAGCGUCUUCAAAGCCCAUGACACCUUUGGUAAAGGCUGUUCUCCAACUGGAGUGCGCACAGGCCAGUGUUUCCCAGUUGUCAGUGUUUAUACUACAUUUUAAGAUUUGCCUUGAGAGAGUCUUUGAACCCCUUUUGUUGACCACCAGCAUUACGCUUUCCAUUUUUCAGUUUGGAAUAGAGUAGUUGCUUUGGAAGACGAUCAUCAGGCAUCUGCGCAACAUGACCAGUAUAUUCCCUGUAGCCCAGCCUUGAGACCCAAGGCCAUCUAGUGAGGUCACCUGAGCCAAGUUGAUGUAUGAUUCUGUGUUUAAAGUGGGGACUUUCCACUGGCCGAAACAGGUCUUGAGCUUCUUUCCACAGACCAACGCUGGAAUCUCAAGUCUCAGCUCUUGUUUCCAGCGCUUUCAGCUUCAAAAGGAAGCGCUGGCUCCUUUGCAACAGCUACAGAAGAGGUGUAUUUACCAAACCAUUGCUGGCAUGAUUUUUUUCCUUGGGAGGAGUCAAGGCCAACUUUUUCUUGGCUGGGCUCCCCAUGCCCUUUAAACAGCUGCACCACAAGCAGAAGUUAUGUCAGGGAAGUUUGGUUUGCCAUUUGGAUGCAGUAAUCGGGAUAUCUCAGCAUCUGUUGCCAGCCCAAGUCUCUGCUACCAACCCAACCAGUACAAGAGGCUAUAGGGUCAGCUGAUUGUCUUUCAGGCCCGGGGUUGCCUUUUUGUGAAUUUUUAAAUUAAGUUUCCCCAAAUUUCACACAUACAUUUCAAUACAUAAAACCUUUUCCCAUUUCCCAUCCCCUUUUCCAUGGUGUUUCUAUUUCGCUCCCUGUUCUGCCCCCCAUCUUCUAUCUCUUAAACCUUAACGAAACUACGAUAACCUUCAAUCCCUUCUGUCGAUCAUAGUUCAAAUUCUGAUCACAUGUUCAUCAUAUAAUAGUAUUUCUUCUAAGGAUCCGAAAAGGGUUUCCGUUCUUCCACAAAACCAUCGUCAUUGGGUUCUCUUAUUUUAGCUGUUAACUUGGACAGUUCUGCAUAACCCACCACCUUUCUUACACAUUCUUCUUUAGCGGAUAUUUCUGCUUCUUCCCAUUUUUGUGUGUAGAGUGUUGUAGCUGCAGUUGGGGCUGCCUUAAUGAUUUUUAUUAUUUUCAGUAAGGAAAGUGACAGGAAAAUCCAGCGGAAAGUGUGGGAUAACAUUUGCUUUAAGCUACAUUAUGUAAUGUUCCUGCAAUGAAAUCCAAAUGAAUGCUCAAUAAACAGCCAGCAACACCAAGGUUGCAGGUUCGAGCCCCGUAUGGGUAAUAACACCAAGGUUGCAGGUUCAAAUCCCACACUGCAGGGGGUUGGACUAGAUGAUCCUCAGUGUCCCUUCUAACUCUAUGACUCUAUGAUUCUAUGAAUAUACAGCCAAUGUUGUGCAGACAAAUCAGGAUGAAGGCACAGAAGCCUUGGUAGUUAAGCGGAUCAGACCUCAAUCAGCCGGUAAAGCUAAAUGUAUAUUGGCUAGGGGAACAGUGGUUUCAACUGUGAUUCACUGGGCGCAACUGGUCUUCAGCAAGAGAGGAUCAAUUCAGUCAUCUGGUGGGCAGGAAUUGACAGCCAAUUGAUACUGUAAGUUGGCAUCCAUCUGUCUCAGGAGACAACGAUCCCAGGGCCAACAUUGAUGCCGAAAUCCAGCAUCGACUGAGCUCUGCAAGUACUGCUUUCUCCCGAUUGAAGUGCAGAGUGUUUGAGGACCAGGACAUUCGCAGGGAAACCAAAAUGCUUGUUUACAAAGCUGUUGUACUACCAACCUUACUAUAUGCUUGUGAAACAUGGACCACUUAUAAACGCCAUCUCCAACUCCUCGAAAGAUUCCAUCAACGGUGUCUCCGAAAAAUUUUACACAUCACUUGGGAAGACAGGCGAACUAAUAUCAGUGUACUGGAAGAAGCAAAGAUCACCAGUGUUGAAGCAAUGGUUCUUCAACAUCAACUUCGUUGGACUGGUCAUGUUGUGCGAAUGCCUGAUGAUCAUCUUCCAAAGCAACUACUCUAUUCUGAUUUUACAGAUAUAAAUUUAUAACAAAACCAAAUACAUAUCAGUAUAAAGAGAUUUAUCUGAAUCUCCAGACUUCCCCCCAACUCCUCCAUGAGUCCUAUUGUCAACUUUUUCAACUGCAUAUUAUUUCAUAAAGUAUAUUUUAUAUCUAUCCAUACUGUCCAUAGUAUUUGCUACAUUACAAGUGAAAUUAAAAUCUAGCUAAUGUUUUCAUCUGCUUACAGUAGUCUCCUAAAUAAAUUAUAAUUUCCCCCCAGUUUUUGUCUUCUUGGUCCUUCAGUUUUCCGGACAGUUUUGCCAUUUCGGUGAAGUCUAACAGCUUGGUUUGCCAUUCCUCUCUGGUAGGGAAUCUUUCUUCUUUCCAUCUCUGGGCUAAUAGCAUCCGUGCUGCUGUUGUGGCAUACAUGAAGUCUUUUCUGUUCCUUUGGGAUGUUGGUACCUACAAUCCCUAAUAAGGUGGCUUCUGGUUGUUGUUUUUUACAAAAGUUAUUUUAAACUUUUUUCUUCAUUACAUUGUAUAUUAUUUCCCAGAAAGCCUUUAUUACCUUACACGACCACCACAUAUGAUAAAAGGUACCUUCUUUUUCUUUGCAUUUCCAGCAGGUAGUUGUGCUUGUUUUAUACAUUUUUGCUAGCUUACUAGGAGUCAAAUACCACCGAUACAUCAUUUUCAUAUAAUUUUAUUUCAGUGUACAACAUGCCGUAAAUUUCAAAUCUGUUUCCUUUCCCAAUCUGCAAUCUGAAUAUUAUGCCUCAAAUCCCUUGCCCAGUGUGUCAUUACAGAUUUAACCUGUUCAUCUCCUUCUCACUUUUCUUGAGCAGUUGCUGGGAUAAGAACCAGGGAAAACCGGCUUGUUUCUCAUAUCGGCUGUGCGAUGGCUGUGUCCCGUCAUCAUGGCACCAGCCUGCCUUUGUUUUCUAUAUUUUAUCACUCCUGCCUAUUUUCCUGUAAGUUGUCGGGCCACAUGGCGCCGCAACACACUGAGGUGGGUCUGAUAAUCCUGUUUUGUGUGUGCGCAAGGCUGCUUGUAAUGUCAAUGAAGCCUUACAGCUGUAAUCAAAACGUAGAGUGCUUAUCAUCUCCAACCUCUUUGAGUACAAAUAUUAUGCGGUGUGAUUAAAGAUAACUGCUAUAGUAAACAUUAUGAAUUAAUUGGAUGACACAUUCCAGGGUUAUAGAUGGGAAAUAAUGUGAAGUUACCAGCUUUUGAAAUUCCAGCUGUCUGAGCAGCAGAAAUGACCAUACAGUGGUACCUCAGGUUACAUACGCUUCAAGUUACCAACGCUUCAGGUUACAGACUCCGCUAGCCCAGAAAUAGUACCUCGGGUUAAGAACUUUGCUUCAGGAUGAGAACAGAAAUCAUGCUCUGGCGGCGCAGCAGCAGCGGGAGGCCCCAUUAGCUAAAGUGGUGCUUCAGGUUAAAAACAGUUUCAGGUUAAGUACGGACCUCGGAACGAAUUAAGUAAUUAACCCGAGGUACCACUGUAUUAUUAAAUUGCUGCUGGAUGGGGGGCGGGGUUGAGAACUGACAGGAGAACCAGAAAGUGUCUGUUCCAUUUUCACCUGAAAACACCUUGGCAUAUUUCAGUGAAAUUUUCAUUGUCCUCAAAUUUUCUUCUAUUUCCCAUCCAAAACGCUAGACAGAAUUUUGCACAGAGUCCAAAGUCUCGGGGAUCAGAGCUUAAGGAAGCUGCCCAGUCUUGGAGCAAAGUUGCUGUGCAAUUAUUGCGCUGCACAGAUCAGGGAAAUUUCCAGCCGGAUUGAGAUCAUGUUUAGGCAGUCGUUCCCCCUCUCUAUAUUUCCCCUAGACCUAGCGGCUAAGAGCCCUGCCCCUAACUCUGCCAAGAGUCCCAUGGGUUUGGGAUGCUCAGUGCUAAAUAACACUUUAUACAGACACUUUCAAGAGGCACAGAUCUGCCUGAGACUGUGAUUAUUGUGUCCCAGACUUGGGGUGAAAAGCAGAAAUGCUUUGGAUUUCCGUGUGAUCUGCUGAAAUCAAAGCCUGCUAACGUACAGCAUUUUCCAUUUUUGGGCUAACAAAACACGGGCCACAACAGUAGCAUACAUAAAUAACCUUUUUUGACACCUGGGAAUUUCCAUCUGGAUUAUCUCCAACAAAAAGGACUCUGGUUUUUUGUGGGUUUUUUUUGGAAAAGUACUAUUAAACAUUUUCCCCCAAUUCAUUAUGAAUUAUUUCCCAAUACUCUUUUACAGGUCCACCACAUAUGAAGGAACUGCUUUCUUGACUGUUGGACCCACUCUUGUCCGUUUAGUCUGUCAGAGCCUGUAUUCACAUGCAGGAAGAAUCCCAAACUCACCGAGAGUUUGAGACCAAAAAACAUAUCCAAUGUCAGGAAUGAGCCAGCUCCCAGCGAAGGUUUGCAGCCAACUGCAGAAAGCAGCCAGGAACAGAGAAGCUUUGAUGUUAGUCAGACAGGGGAGAGCCGGCAGCUGCAGACUUUGACUCUGCCUGACCUUGACGGGCUGGCUGAUGAGGCAGCGGCUGAGAGCAGGCUGGAACACAGCCAAAGCUCUCCAGAAGCUCAAAUAGGCACAGGCAGACACAGAGAGAGUCUACUGGAAAUGGAAGGGGUUGGAGAUGAUCUAAUCAGUCCAAGAAGUCGGCGAAUGGGAGGUCUUCUAGACAGGAAGCAAAACAAAAGACGUAAGGUAUGAAAGUACAAUAUAUUCUGUAGGCACAGGAAGCAGUCUUCAGAAGGGUCAUCUUGAGUGAUAAUGCUGGCAGC